rnacentral:rRNA from 1 species
AACGAACGCUGGCGGCAGGCCUAACACAUGCAAGUCGAACGCUCCGCAAGGGGGAGUGGCGCACGGGUGAGUAACACGUGGGAACCUACCUUCUGGUACGGAACAACCAAGGGAAACUUUGGCUAAGACCGUAUACGACCUCCGGGUGAAAGAUUGAUCGCCGGAAGAGGGGCCCGCGUCCGAUUAGGUAGUUGGUGAGGUAACGGCUCACCAAGCCUUCGAUCGGUAGCUGGUCUGAGAGGAUGACCAGCCACACUGGGACUGAGACACGGCCCAGACUCCUACGGGAGGCAGCAGUGGGGAAUAUUGGACAAUGGGCGCAAGCCUGAUCCAGCCAUG